GAAUUGUUCGCAAUGGGCGCAAGCCUGACGACGCAACGCCGCGUGGAGGAUGAAGAUCUUCGGGUCGUAAACUCCUUUCGAUCGAGACGAAUGGCUCCUGGGUGAACAAUCCAGGGGAAUGACGGUACCGAGAGAAGAAGCGCCGGCUAACUCCGGGCCAGCAGCCGCGGUAAUACGGGGGGGGCAGGCGUUGUUCGGAAUUACUGGGCGUAAAGGGCUCGUAGGCGGCCAACUAAGUCGGACGUGAAAUCCCUCGGCUCAACCGGGGAACUGCGUCCGAUACUGGCUGGCUUGAAUCCGGGAGAGGGAUGUGGAAUUCCAGGUGUAGCGGUGAAAUGCGUAGAUAUCUGGAGGAACACCGGUGGCGAAGGCGGCAUCCUGGACCGGCAUUGACGCUGAGGAGCGAAAGCCAGGGGAGCAAACGGG
rnacentral:rRNA from 1 species